rnacentral:rRNA from 1 species
AACGAACGCUGGCGGCAGGCCUAACACAUGCAAGUCGAGCGCGCCCUUCGGGGUGAGCGGCGGACGGGUGAGUAACGCGUGGGAACGUGCCCUUCUCUGCGGAAUAGCCUCGGGAAACUGAGAGUAAUACCGCAUACGCCCUUUGGGGGAAAGAUUUAUCGGAGAAGGAUCGGCCCGCGUUGGAUUAGGUAGUUGGUGGGGUAAUGGCCCACCAAGCCGACGAUCCAUAGCUGGUUUGAGAGGAUGAUCAGCCACACUGGGACUGAGACACGGCCCAGACUCCUACGGGAGGCAGCAGUGGGGAAUCUUAGACAAUGGGGGCAACCCUGAUCGAGCCAUGCCGCGUGAGUGAUGAAGGCCUUAGGGUUGUAAAGCUCUUUCAGCUGGGAAGAUAAUGACGGUACCAGCAGAAGAAGCCCCGGCUAACUCCGUG